rnacentral:lncRNA from 1 species
UUUUUUCAUCAACCUUAAAUACCAAAAUUAUAUUAUGGUUUCAACUUGCUCAAAUUUAGCAUGAUACGCUAUUUAAAUAGUUAGACACAGUUGCUUCCAAUCAUCUGAAAAAUAGUAAAAAUGAAACCUUUAUCCUAAGGGUAUAAUAAAAAUAUAAAAGUAGUAAUCAUUAAAGUGCAAACAGUGGACUACAAAGAAAAAUACAAAUGUUAAAAAUCAUAAGAAAUUGUGCUCAAAAGGAGUCAGUCAUCUAGAAGGCAGUUAUAGUGGCAGAUUCGGGACCAGGCGCAGAAAGGACACACUGAGAUAUAGUGUGGUUCUGCCUCAUUUCUCAGCAGAUAGAGACACAGAACAAAAGUUCACAUUCGGAGUUCCCAUUGUGGCUCAGUGGUUAACGAAUCCGACUAGGAACUGCGAGGUUGCAGGUUUGGUCCCUGGCCUCCAUCAGUGGGUUAAGGAUCUGGCAUCGCCGUGAGCUGUGGUGUAGGGACUGAACCCGCAACCUCAUGGUUCCUAGUCGGAUUCGUUAACCACUGCGCCACGACGGGAACUCCUGUUUAUUCUUAAUUAUAUCUGUAUCUAUCGUAUUAUUUUUCAGAUGCUUGAAAUGUAUCACAUGUGUAUUUUUAAGUUUUAUUUAAUAAAACUUUUACCUAAUAAACCAGUACUUUCAAGAGUUGUAAAUGACCUUCAAAGAAAAUUUUCCUGUAUUUAUCAUGAGUGCUAUAAGAAACACAGAAAAAAAACGUAUUUUCAGUGAAUGUAAACUAGCAAACACACCUUGCUCUGCAGUGCGCCAGUGCUGUCAUGCUUUUACAUUUUAAAUCCCCACCAUUUGAUUACGUCUGAACUUGCUAAAGGUGAUGCAGUGACAGUUGAGAGUCCUAAUUGGUCAAUGAAAGGGAGUUCCUAUUUUGCAGAAAGGAUCCGAGCUCCCUGCUCCGGCUGCACAAAUGCUGACUGCCCGGGACAACCCUUCGCUGAGGCUCUCAGCAAGGCUCCCCAGAGAGUGAAUGAUGGGUAAAUGUUACUCCCGCAUUCAAGCCUCAUCUCCAACCUCAGCAUAACCCAUCCACGUGUUUCAGGGAAGAUGAUCAUUUCUAUUUCUUGAAUAAUUAAUGUAAGACUUCAGCUUACAAAACAAUCUGACAAAGGGCAGGUCAAUAUGGUGGGAAGGUGACAUAUAUGAGCAAAUUCCACAUUUCUAAAGUCACAGCCUAAAAAUAAGAAUUUUUUUGGAGCAGAUUUUCAAAUUUCACAGGCUCUGUUCUCUUUCCUUUCCCUUUCUGGGCAUCUCAGGAAGGAAUGAGUGUUACAGGAGAGGGUGGCUGAGAAAGAAUUGCCAUGCGCAGGACCUGAUCCUUCUCGACAGUCUGUCCUCAGACUGGCCUCUGGGCAUAUAUUCUCUUCGACACCACAGUGGUGCAUGGAACCUUGAACCUAUUACUUUUGAUCUCACCAUGACACUGCCCCAAAGGGGUCAACUGCACUUCCAUACAACUACGAGAGGCUGUGCAAAGCACACAAUUCAAUGUAAAACACGGCAGAACAGUUUCUAGGAUUCACAGGAUACAUAUGACGAUGAAAGGUCUAUGCACGGUAAACAUGAAAAUGGAGCUGAAAAUUAAAACGGCAUUUUCAUCAUACUUGCCAUUUAAUGAAAUUCUCAGGUGUGUCACAGGAACUGCUGAAAAUGUAUGUCCGGCAACUUAAAUGAUCACUGUGUUGGUAACAGUCACACAAGAGAAACUGCCAACUGACUGCUGUUAGUACAGCUACGCAGGAGAACUACAACUAGAAAAUCUAUAGUUUGCAUCCUAGUUUUUAUUUUGGCAUAUAAUUUAUAUGAGGACAUAAGCAUCUCAUUAAAUGUCAUUUUGCCUCCAUUCUCCUCCUGGGCACAAUACUUCAAUACGUCUUUUUUAAUGGAAAGAUACUCCUGUUCAAAUAAAUGGCCUCAAUAAAGUUACUAACAUGUAAAUAUAGAAAAGAGCAUUAGAAACAUACAGCUAGAGAAUAAAAAGUUUGAUUUGUUGCUUAAAAAUGUCCAUUGAAAAUGUGAGUGGGAAUUAGAUAAAUUCAUCAAGAAAUUCACCUGUAUAGAUAGAUGGCUAACAGAUGCUCCUAUCGAAAAGAAGAACCCCCCACAAUUCUAAGCAUCCUAUAGAUUCUGGCACUGCACAAUAUCCAUAAAGAAAAACCAUCUGGGAUUUGGAAGUUUCUUCUUUAAAGUACUCAGGAGCACUACAACAUAAUGGCUUUUUAAUGAGGAAGCAUGUACAUUUUUAUGUAAAUAUAACUCCAUAGAAGUAUUAAAUACAAAAAAUAUUUUCUAUUUUUACAUAAUAGUCUUGAAAUCUACAGAAAUGUAUCCCAAGUUAGUCCUUAUUUUUUUAGGAACUAUUUACUAAGAAGCUACUAUAUAUUUAUCACCUAUUAUUUUAGGUCUUACAGAUAUAUGAUUACCUGUUCUUUGUUUUCUAUUGAGGGUUUCUUUUCAUAUAUAUGAGUGUAAAGAUACAACUAGUUUUCUGUAAAAUCUACUGAGUAGGAAAUGAUGCCUCCAAUGAGGUCGGAAAAAAAAAGCGGUGAGGCCUAAACCAGAACUUUCCUAUGGCCCAUUGUCAUAAGCUUAAUUGACAAACAGCCAGAACACAUCUAAAAGGGCAAACAAGGAGUUCCCGUCGUGGUGCAGCGGAAAUGAUCCCUGGCCUCGCUCAGUGGGUUAAAGAUCUGGCAUUGCCAUGACCUGUGGUGUAGGUUGCAGACGUGGCUGGAAUCCUAUGUUGCUGUGGCUGUGGUGUAGGCUGGCAGCUGUAGCUCCGAUUCA